rnacentral:rRNA from 1 species
UCCUACGGGAGGCAGCAGUAGGGAAUCUUCCGCAAUGGACGAAAGUCUGACGGAGCAACGCCGCGUGAGUGAUGAAGGCUUUCGGGUCGUAAAACUCUGUUGUUAGGGAAGAACAAGUGCUAGUUGAAUAAGCUGGCACCUUGACGGUACCUAACCAGAAAGCCACGGCUAACUACGUGCCAGCAGCCGCGGUAAUACGUAGGUGGCAAGCGUUAUCCGGAAUUAUUGGGCGUAAAGCGCGCGCAGGUGGUUUCUUAAGUCUGAUGUGAAAGCCCACGGCUCAACCGUGGAGGGUCAUUGGAAACUGGGAGACCUGAGUGCAGAAGAGGAAAGUGGAAUUCCAUGUGUAGCGGUGAAAUGCGUAGAGAUAUGGAGGAACACCAGUGGCGAAGGCGACUUUCUGGUCUGUAACUGACACUGAGGCGCGAAAGCGUGGGGAGCAAACAGGAUUAGAUACCCUGGUAGUCCACGCCGUAAACGAUGAGUGCUAAGUGUUAGAGGGUUUCCGCCCCUUAGUGCUGAAGUUAACGCAUUAAGCACUCCGCCUGGGGAGUACGGCCGCAAGGCUGAAACUCAAAGG